rnacentral:rRNA from 1 species
UACGUAGGGGCAAGCGUUGUCCGGAUUUAUUGGGCGUAAAGAGCGUGUAGGCGGCCUUACAGGUCAGCUGUGAAAACUCGAGGCUCAACCUCGAGACGUCGGUUGAAACCGUAUGGCUAGAGUCCGGAAGAGGAGAGUGGAAGUUCCCGGUGUAGCGGUGAAAGUGCGCAGAUAUCGGGAAAGAACACCCGGUGGCGAAGGCGGCUCUCUGGGCCGAUAGUUGACGCUGAGGAGCGAAAGCGGUGGGGAGCGAACAGGA